CCCUUAGAUGUUCUGGGCUGCACGCGCGCUACACUGAUGCACUCAACGAGUUUACGACCUUGCCCGAUAGGGUUGGGUAAUCUUUUUAAAAUGCAUCGUGAUGGGGAUAGAUUAUUGCAAUUAUUAAUCUUCAACGAGGAAUUCCUAGUAAGCGCGAGUCAUCAGCUCGUGCUGAUUACGUCCCUGCCCUUUGUACACACCGCCCGUCGCUACUACUGAUUGGAUGUUUAAGCGAGGUUCUCGAACUGCUAGUGACUGAUCUUCGGUGAGGUCGCAGUGUGGGAAGUGAACCUAGCUUUGGUGUCUAGAGGAAGUAAAAGUCGUAACA
rnacentral:rRNA from 1 species